rnacentral:rRNA from 1 species
UCCAGACUCCUACGGGAGGCAGCAGUGGGGAAUAUUGCACAAUGGGCGAAAGCCUGAUGCAGCAACGCCGCGUGAAGGAAGAAGGGUUUCGGCUCGUAAACUUCUAUCAACAGGGACGAAAGAAAUGACGGUACCUGAAUAAGAAGCCCCGGCUAACUACGUGCCGGCAGCCGCGGUAAUACGUAGGGGGCGAGCGUUAUCCGGAUUCACUGGGUGUAAAGGGAGCGUAGACGGCCAUGCAAGCCAGGGGUGAAAGCCCGGGGCCCAACCCCGGGACUGCCCUUGGAACUGCAUGGCUGGAGUGCGGGAGGGGCAGGCGGAAUUCCUGGUGUAGCGGUGAAAUGCGUAGAUAUCAGGAGGAACACCGGCGGCGAAGGCGGCCUGCUGGACUGAAACUGACGUUGAGGCUCGAAAGCGUGGGGAGCAAACAGGAUUAGAUACCCCUGUAC